UGUGCAGCAUUCGAUUAGGAAUGGCUCCGAUCUAAUUUCAAGCUUCUUUAAUUUAUAAUCUCGCGUUCGAGAUGAAACUCGAUCUUUUUUUGCAGGUUACUUUUUCGGGAUUAAAAGAUGUCUUAAAGUAAGAAUAAGCUUUUGAAAGAAACGUGUGAGCAAUUGCUGCCUAUUAUAAAGUUGAUGAAUUGAUAAUUAAAAUUGUUUAACAUUGGAAGCACCAACGAUUAGGAAGUAAAGUUUAUGUAAAAGGAGUGAAAAUGAAAGAAAGAAAUUAAUGGAAUUCAUCAUAUUGCAUUAUAUUAAGCUCACACCUACAAUAAGGAUUCCAGAGUUAAGGAAUGUUACAAAUGCGUGAACGUUAUUUUGAGGUUAUCGAUCUUCGCAACUAGAAGAUUCUUUCGUAAAGAUUUCGAAAGCGUGAUCUCGCCUGGAUAACUGUUUUGUGCAAGACAUUUGCACAUGCGCGACCAGCUUGAUUCCGUUCCUACUUUUCACCGGCCUCGAAUCUGGUAUAUCCUCACUUCCUUUAUCCCCACUGUAUCUAGCUAAGCGCGUGUGCGGUCAACACGUCAAUUAUAUCUGAAUCGAAGGCGACGUCUCAUCGUGAUUACGCCGCAAAAUAAAGGCAACUUGACUUUUCUCUAAUGGGUUCAUAGUUGUUUGCACCAUUUUUCGCUAUCAUGAUCGUACAGUGAUCGUUAGAUAAAUUUGAAACCUUAAUAGCAGAUAAUGAACUCGUUCCCAUAGAAAAUUGCUGCACUUUGAUUGUUUAAUUUAACUUUGUCUUAAGUUAAACACCAUGUACUUAUUGAAUUGAACAAUCUAUUAUCGUUUAAGAAUUUGUUAGAUGUACAUUGGCCUAUAUACUGCCUAUAAGUAAUUCAACUAAACCAUAGAAAUAAAUUUUUAUCUUUAUUAUUUCAGUUCUAAAGGAAUUGAGCAUUAUCUGCAGCCAGUGACAAGCACCGAGUUGACUUUUUCAUGUAAUCAGAAAGUAACAAAAUAGUGAUGUAAUUUCGCGGCAUUCCGCAUAACUCGUUCACAAUACACCGUUUUAUCAUUAGCCGUUGGGAACAGAAGCGUAGGACUCCGCGAUUUAUGAAUGAUUCGGAGGAGUGAAUGAACGGGGUCGACGCAUGCGCACCAUCGGCCAGAUUCCAUUCCCAUUCCGAUCUCGCCUCUAUUCUCUGCUUUAUCCUUUUGCCGCGCUCUGCGUAGGUACCGUGAACGCACAACAGCUGUAGAAUUUAUAAAAAGGUCUGUUCGACCGACCGAUGAAACCCUUAUCAAGGUCUUUCCACCAUUAUAGAGGUAUUAGUGGAAGGAAGGAAGAAUGCGUGUUUCUUUCACCGUUACGGAAAUAUUUACACAACCAUGUGCAAACCAACUUACGCCAGGAUAAAUUAGAUUGCUGUCGGCUUUGUCAUUUCACCAACCGACAAGUGAGAUUUUCCUUGGCACUGAUAAUGCCGUGAUACUGUUACUUUUCCCACAUGGCUUUUGCCUGACUGUCCUAAAUAAUCAACUUUUUUUUCUUUAAAUCUAUAGACAUAGAUACUGUUGAAUUAACAGAGGCCUCAUUUUUUCAUUCUUUUGGUAAUAAAUAGUAGGGCUCUCUUGUACAAUAAUUUUCAAAAUUUAUUGUUAUACAAAGAACUUAUUAUUUAUGACUUGUAAAAUAUUAAUAUUAACAGAAUUGUACAAGAAAGACCAGAAAAAUAAAACAAGGAAUAAUGAAUCUUUAUUUAAUAACAAAAAGAACAGAUACUUUUCUAUCUUUUUUUAAAUUCGCUUUGUAAAAUUAUUGAAGUAUUUCUAGUUGAAAAAAAGAAGAACUGCAUCUUUAUAUAGAUUGUUUAGAUACGAUCGCUUUUCAAGAUUUCACUUUCAGAAGAUCACUAUCUUUUGAACACGGUCACUAUACAAUCCUCUAGAAACAACCGCACCAUUGAGCACAAUUUAGUAUUCAACGACGUAUUACCUUAAAUCAAACAAUUGUACUCAUUUUCCUGGAAGGAAGAACUUCAAAUAAUUUUCCAUCACGAUUAAAUCGACAUCUGAAGACCCAGAUUUGGAAUUUUCGAAUUUACAAAAUCAAACUACAUUCCAUAAGGUAAUGAGCAUCGAUACCUCGAAGAAAGGACAUUUGUGAUGCAUAUGACAGUCAUAAUAACAGGUUACAACUUGUCUGUACAAGCCGUGAACGAAGGCCUCCCAUUUAAAAUUCGCAGCUGACAGUCAAAAGGCAAGAAGACCAAUUUAGACAUGACUAAAGUCGCAAAAUAUUCCCAAAAAAUUUGGAUAAACGGCGGCGUUAAUUAAGCUAAUACGAAACGUGAUAUGCAACAAUUACAAUUUAAUGGGACCAGGUCACGGUGAAGAGCGCACCGCAACAUAACUGUUUAUUAAGUAUCUCGUCGCCCACGUUAAUUGAGAAGUUACUGUCGAAUUGAUAGCUCCGACGUAAAGUAACCUUAAUCGCAGCCGAAGCAUUUUAAUUAGACCUGCUCUCACGAUAAUUAAAUGAAAAAUGUUUGGGAACAUUGCAUGCUACAGCAUAUUAACGCACGUGAUUUUUACUUUUAUGAUACGCGGAAAUCAAUUACAUACUUUUUAGUCAAUCAAUUUCAUUUAGAAAAAAAGGCAAUACUGAAUUAAUUAUAGUUUAUACUACAAUAGUAGAUGGUUAUUUUAAUAUCAUAAAGAAAGAUAUUUUUUAUAAGUAUCAUAUAAGAAGUAAUUGGGCUAAUUAUAAGGGAUAUACAAUUUAUAACAAUCAUAUUUGACAAAUAAUUGGAAUACUACCAAUUAAAAGAACGAUUCAUUUAUUAUUCUGCAUGUUUGCAGGUUUUGUGUUCGAGACAAACGUCGUAGCAGCAUUUUUCCCAUUUGUCGCAAUCCUCAUCGCCGUGGCAAGAAGUUGGUGGCAAUUCAACGGUGAUCAUUAGCAGCCAUGGGUGCAGGAAAGAAUGCCAGACAUAUUCCGCCCAACUCUCAGCUUUUCCGCUUGGACAGCAAUAAUAUUGAUGAUCGAUCGUCCUACACCAGUAUCUGCAAAGUGGUGUGUAGCCUUUCCCGUAAGCUUUCGUUGCGCAAACGUGAACGAUGAGACAAAAUAUCACGAUCAAUCUAAACAUCCUGAAAUGUUAUUGUAUAUUCAUCAAUAGACUAUGGAUAUUUAUGCAAAUGUCUUAUUUACUGUAAUAAAAUGUAUAAAUGAAAAGAGAUUUUGGAAAGAAACAAACAUUGUGGUAAUCUAGAUUGUGAUAUUGAUUUGUACAUUCUUUGUUUUAAAGUUUAUUAUGCAAGAAGUAACUAUGAAAAAAGAUAAGAAAAAAUUAUACUAUAGGUCAAGAGUAUUUUUAUAUUAUCUAUAAUAAUUACAAGCAAUUUAAUAAAGUAAUUUUCUUAUAAAAAGAUAUGGAGCUUUUUACCAUAUUUGAUUGUUUUAGUGAGCUCUUAAAUGGUUAAAUAUGUAUUGUUAAUUAAUAAUUGAAUAUAAAUGUAUAUAUAGAAAAGGCAUAUAGUACAAUAAUGAAUUAAGGUGUGUUAUGUAUGUGUGUAUGUAUGAAUAAGAUACGCGUUAAUGUUAGUACUUCUACGGUGAAUUACAAAUACGUAAUUAUUAUUUGGAAAAUUAUUAUUUCUCUUCAGAAAAAUUAUAUAUAUGUAUGUUUUUAGAAGAACAGAAUAUCUAAAUCGAUAGUUUGGUACUCACUUGAAUUCU